GGAGAGUUGGUCGAGUGGCUUAAGGCACCGGUCUUGAAAACCGGCGAUGUGCAAGCAUCCCAGGGUUCAAAUCCCUGACUCUCCGCCA
rnacentral:tRNA from 2 species